CGUAAAAGUUUGUACGCUUUCGGGCUCGUUGAAUAUAGCGUGAUCGACUUAGCUAUGUCUUCUUCUUUCCAAUUCCGCCGUUUAUUUCCAUCCCUUAAUUUUUCAAUCUAUGUAUGUGUAAUGAAUUUUAAUAUAUUUUGCAAUAUACUUUUUAGAAUUUGGGCACUUACCUGGCAGUUGGUGAAAAUGCAGUUUUUGCUCUAAAUUAUUUCUGUGGAAUUCCGAGGUUUUAAUGGAAAUCCUAAGGCGUUUAAUUUCUGCUGACUGCUCGUUUUUGCACUUAUUCAAAGUUCUAACACUAUUCAGCCUUUGUCUAAAAAGAAUAAGAAAUACACAUACUUAUUAUUUUCUCGUCUUUCUCCUUGAUGACCUCCUCUCCUGCAGUUUGAGGUGCCUAUCCAACCUCGUCUUCUCGGGACUCCAUCCUUUUCUGCCGUUCAUUAGCCUCUGCAGGAGCAGUGGUUAACGUGGGAAAAGCGCUAGGUAACAACUUAGUUGGAUUCCGCGAACUUAAACCUGCAAGAGUGUUUGGUUAUAAAGAGCCAUUAAAAAGGAAGCGGAGAGGACGUUUUGCGAAUAAGGAAGACGAUAAAAGGCGAGAUACUACUCGAAAUGAAGAUGGCCCAGAUGAAGAACACGGGAGCAUAAGAAAAGGAAAUAUGCAAGGUUUUAGACGACCAGGCGCUAAUAAGAGCCAAAACCCACUAGGUAUUAGUGGAGAUCCGAGACCUGGACAAAAUAACCACUAAA